UACAGAGGUCUCAAGCGUUGUUCGGAAUCACUGGGCGUAAAGGGCGCGUAGGCGGGAUGGCAAGUCAGUCGUGAAAUCUCUCGGCUCAACCGAGAAACGUCGGCUGAUACUGCCGUUCUUGAGGGAUGCAGAGGAGACUGGAAUUCCCGGUGUAGCGGUGAAAUGCGCAGAUAUCAGGAGGAACACCGGUGGCGAAGGCGGGUCUCUGGGCCGAUACUGACGCUGAGGAGCGAAAGCGUGGGGAGCGAACAGG
rnacentral:rRNA from 1 species